GGUUACAGUCACAGUGUCAAAUUGUUGGUCAAAAGGAGAAGAAGUAGCACCGAUUGGGACAUACAGAGGAGUAGAGAUGAAAGGAGCUCCGGUAACAACAACAGACGGUGGCUGUUGGUGAUGGUGUGGUCUCGUUUCUGGUGAUUCCUCAAGUGGGUCUUUUGGGGAAGGUGAAAGUUGCUGCUGUUGCGAUUGUUGGGUUUGCU
rnacentral:misc_RNA from 1 species